CGCCCCUGCACUUACUUGACUGAUGUGCCUUAGCUAUAUUCAUAUCUGUGCUGCCUGCUGAAGUAUAGAUGGUGAUGGGUGAAUCAAUCGCGAGUUCCGUGGUACCAGCCUCCGUAAACCUGUGUAUGUUAGCUUGAUCCGGUAUACAUAGAAAGUGGCAUGUUUUCCACCACAAGCGGGUCACUCUCCCUGCUUCAAGCACUUCCAAUGAUUGCUUACAGUCUCCUAUGAUUUAAGAUGUCUGCCUAUUGAGGUGGAACUUAGUGCUUACAUCCUCGACUAUGCUUCGGCGUCCCCUAGGUUAGAUGUAAUUAGACCAGGUGAGUGUACUUAGGCUAUUGAUCGGUGCCGGUGGAAGUUUUUUCCCAAACACUUUAUUUGGUUCCAUUAACAUGCAUUUUAAUUUGUGCAUCCUCAGCUCUGCUCCAUCUUUCCCUAGGUCAGGUCUCCACAUGUACCGCUUUUUGGCAGGCUAUAAUCUUCGCGUGAAAAAAUUAAGUUAAAUCAGAAUUAGACCAGGUGAUUGUACUUAGGGUUAGCUUCCCAUUUCUUUUUACUCUUUUGACUAAGAAAGAUGUAGCGGUUCCAUUACUUAUAUCAUGUUUAGUAUAUUAAUUUGGACCAGGCCAGCUGAUUGUUAUUAGGGUGAGCUUCCCAUUUCUUUCUCUUCUUUUGACUAAUAAAGGUGUUGCGGUUUCAUUACUUAUAUACUGUUUAUUAGAUUAAUAAUCACGUUGAUUGAUAACACAGUUAUCUUAGCAAGACUUGCGGAUAAAGAUACAAAUACAACUGAAACAAAUAAGAUGGAGCUAAUACAACAGGGGAUCAUGGUUGUUCUUAACUUCUAUUGGCUCUGCUGUGCUGUUGUGUACAGGAAAUGCUCAUUUAUACAUGGUGAGGUGGUCUUAAAGUGCAGAGAGAAGGUUACAAAAGUGAUGCAGGAAAAGGGUUACCAAAUUAAAUAAUUAAGUAAUGCGACUCAAGGCAGAAAAAUUAAGAAGAAUUAAAGCCUAAACAAAUGUUAUUAAGAAGUAUAAAACUAAUAGAAACAAUGCCUGAUAGUAUUCCUGAAAAAUAGAUAAACAGAUAGAAGUUGCCAUCUUUUUUCAAGUAGCUCACCUUAUCAACUGUGAAUUCAAAGUUCAUGAAACUCAUAUAUUUAGGCUUGCUUGCACCUCAUUGAUGGAUUUAGUGUUUGCACAUAUUCUUCAAGGUCCCGUGUUGUUUUAUCUCAAUGGAAAUUUACAAAAUUCAGUAUGACUGAGACUUUUUAAUCAACUGAAAAUACCAUUUUGCUCCUGCUAGCCCGUUCCUGUUGAGAUGAAAAGAGCAGCGGAGUCUAUGAUACAAUGAGCAAAGAAUCAAACCGGAUCAAAAUUCCAAACCCAUUCAGUAGCCUGCCGGAAUCCAUCUAUCACACACUACAUAUUCUACAUAUACACACAAACGCCAUCUUCCUCUGAUCGCCCUGUUUACUAAACGCCUAAUUUAAAAGGCAAGCUUCAUCUUCCUCAUCAUUCUCCUCAGGUCAUGAAAAUGGAGGCCCAUCUAGGAAAAGAGGACGGCCAAGAAUUGGUGUAAUAGACGAGAUUCUAGAGCAGAGGAGAUUGGCCAGACAGCGAACUAGCGCAAGUCGACCAACAAGUAAGAGCAUUAUAUUAGUUUAUUCUGUGUUUUCAUCACACCAAGUUUCCGAAUGGCUUCAACACAUUUAUCUAUGCCAGAUUUGUGCAGGCAACACCAACUGAUAAAUAUGUAAUAUGUGCUUGUAAAAGUAAGUUCGAAAUCUUUAAUAGAAUCCAGGAUGGACUUUACAUUAACAAUGACCAUAUUGCCUAACUUAAAAAUAUUGAUUAGAAAGUUUGCAGUGGCAGUUGUAGAUAUUCACCAGACUAUAUGGAUAUAUAUUGCUAAUGUUGUGUUGGUGUACCAUAGAACUGAAAUGAAUUCCAAAGCUACGAGAACUAAAUUACAGGAUCCGGAAAGAAAUUGCUUACCAUCUGUGCAGCCAGACCAUACAUUAUAUCAUCUAAAUAAUGUGGAGGAAAAAGAACAAGGUUAUUAACCAGGAACACAAACCUGAUCCAGAUACAUAAUUAUUAAAGCUGAAAUAUUAUACUUUUAUUAUGAAACAUUUUUAACUAUUCUUAUUUAAACAUCUAUAUGGCCUACUUAUUUUAAGAGCCUAAUUUAACAGGCCAAAUUAUUGAAAACUUAUUUUAAGGGUCUUAUUAGAAACCUAGCUAUUAUAACCAAAACACUUGUAACUAUUUAAAUUAAAAAACGUCUAUAAGCCUAGGUAAUUUCAAACAGAAAAUCACGCUAUUACAUAUUAAAAUAUUAUCUUUAAAAUAUAUAGAUAAUAAGAUAACAUGAGCUAUAUUAUUAGAGAUGAAACUAUGGUUAAAGUGAAGAUACGAUGAUAGCAUCAAGAAUGAUAUGUUGAGAGCAUGAAGAAAGAGAUGGAAAGUUGAUGCAUCCAAAAUAUCAGGCAAAGAUUGCACAUGAAAAAACAACUGCUUCGGUGAAUUAAAAGGCUCAUUACAGUCUGCUUACAUGUGCGCAACCGGCAGAUCCAGUGUCACAGAGGUUCAGAGUAGGGGUCUCUGUUGAAGACACAACUGGGAAAAAAAGCUUAACACUUUUCAACAAGGAAGCGGAGCAGUUUGUUGGUGUGCCCGUGGCAAAAAUUUUGCAGGAGCUAGGCCAGGUAAUAACAAUUUCAACUCGGGUUUCACAAUACACAUUACAAUAUUACACCAUCAUUGCUUCCCUAUACAUAGGAUGAAGAGACAUGUCCAAGAUUCCUGCAGCGGUGAAUAACAUCAUCGGAAAGGUUUGUGUCUUUCAAAUUAAGGUCACACCAUACAACACGUCACACGGAUGUGAGGAAUACACAGUCACAAGAGUCAUGGAAGAGGUAGCUACAGAGGCUUCAAAAGUAGGCGCACACACAGAUGUGGAGGCUUCAAAAUUAGGCGCACACUGAGAGGCAGAGGCCUUAAAAACAAAUGCACAUAGCCACAUACAACAACUGCAACAGAAGUCCAGGCUGUCGGAAACUUGAACAAGAGGCUGAAAAUUGCUUGACGAUCACAACUCACCGGAUAUUAGAAUUACACGUGCCAUUAGAUAAUAGUAAUAAAUAAUACAUGAAAAAUGUUGAAGACUAAAGGUGAGUUAAAGGAAUCAUAGGAUCCCUCAACCUGAUACAACUUUUGACACAAUUUUUUUAGCUACUUCUUUAGUAAAAUAUUUCUUGCCUCACAACUAACUAGGGAUGAUCCACUGCAAUGAGACAAUUGAUUAUAUA